GGAGUUUGGACCGUGUCUCAGUUCCAAUGUGGGGGACCUUCCUCUCAGAACCCCUACUGAUCGUCGCCUUGGUGGGCCGUUACCCCGCCAACAAGCUAAUCAGACGCAUCCCCAUCCAUUACCGUUGAAAACUUUGGUCUCGCUUAGAUGUCUGCACGAGACCGCAUCAGGGAUUAAUCCAGUUUUCACUGGGCUAUACCUGAGUAAUGGGCAGGUUGGAUACGCGUUACUCACCCGUGCGCCGGUCGCCAUCGACAAUAGCAAGCUAUCGUCAUGCUGCCCCUCGACUUGCAUGUGUUAAGCCUGUAGCUAGCGUUCAUC
rnacentral:rRNA from 1 species